CGCCACGCUUUCCCGGAUAUGAUGAUUUGAUUCCUUGCAUGUAAUCCCUCCCCAACGCUGUGAAAUUCGUCAGAGUUUAUGAUUUGAUUUCAAAUAUUGGGCUCAAGAACGUGAGCGUUUAGCAACCUGGCUAGCUAGCUAGCUAGGCUUCAGCACUUGUUGUUCAUUACUUGCAUCUUUGGAUGAGCUGAUGGUAAAUAAGGACAUAGACCGUUGAAAUUUGUGAGAACGUGUCGUGUAUAAAGUAUCUCUGGUUUCUGAGGUGUAGCUCGUGUACUAUACUGCCA